rnacentral:ncRNA from 1 species
UCUAGUACGACUUUGUGAAAUGACUUGAGAGGUGUAGAAUAAGAGGGAUUUUUUUUUGGCACAAAUUAAAUACAACUACUUUUAACGUUAUUUUACAUAUUAUGUGGGGGCAGAGAGGAGUAUUUACCCUAUUUUUGUCCUUAAGACAUGUUUCAAUGGGUUGAUCUGGGAGAAAGACAUUGUCAGGUGGGGA